GAUGAACGCUGGCGGCGUGCCUAAUACAUGCAAGUCGAGCGAACAGACGAGGAGCUUGCUCCUCUGACGUUAGCGGCGGACGGGUGAGUAACACGUGGAUAACCUACCUAUAAGACUGGGAUAACUUCGGGAAACCGGAGCUAAUACCGGAUAAUAUAUUGAACCGCAUGGUUCAAUAGUGAAAGACGGUUUUGCUGUCACUUGUAGAUGGAUCCGCGCCGCAUUAGCUAGUUGGUAAGGUAACGGCUUACCAAGGCGACGAUGCGUAGCCGACCUGAGAGGGUGAUCGGCCACACUGGAACUGAGACACGGUCCAGACUCCUACGGGAGGCAGCAGUAGGGAAUAUUCCGCAAUGGGCGAAAGCCUGACGGAGCAACGCCGCGUGAGUGAUGAAGGUCUUCGGAUCGUAAAACUCUGUUAUUAGGGAAGAACAAAUGUGUAAGUAACUAUGCACGUCUUGACGGUACCUAAUCAGAAAGCCACGGCUAACUACGUG
rnacentral:rRNA from 1 species